GACGAACGCUGGCGGCGUGCCUAAUACAUGCAAGUCGAGCGGAUUUUCGGAAGCUUGCUUCCGAAAAUUAGCGGCGGACGGGUGAGUAACACGUGGGCAACCUGCCUGUAAGACUGGGAUAACUUCGGGAAACCGGAGCUAAUACCGGAUACAUUCUUCCCUCGCAUGAGGGAAGAUGGAAAGACGGUUUUGCUGUGACUUACAGAUGGGCCCGCGGCGCAUUAGCUAGUUGGUGGGGUAAUGGCCCACCAAGGCGACGAUGCGUAGCCGACCUGAGAGGGUGAUCGGCCACACUGGGACUGAGACACGGCCCAGACUCCUACGGGAGGCAGCAGUAGGGAAUCUUCCGCAAUGGACGAAAGUCUGACGGAGCAACGCCGCGUGAGCGAAGAAGGCCUUCGGGUCGUAAAGCUCUGUUGUCAGGGAAGAACAAGUACCAUAGUAACUGAUGGUACCUUGACGGUACCUGACCAGAAAGCCACGGCUAACUACGUGCCAGCCGCCGCUGUAA
rnacentral:rRNA from 1 species